rnacentral:tRNA from 1 species
AUUUAAAUAGUUUAAAAAAAAUAUUAAUUUGUGGGAUUAAAGAUAUAAUGUGUUAUUUUAAAUC